rnacentral:rRNA from 1 species
AGAGUUUGAUCCUGGCUCAGGACGAACGCUGGCGGCGUGCCUAAUACAUGCAAGUCGAGCGGAGCUUAUCCUUCGGGGUAAGCUUAGCGGCGGACGGGUGAGUAACACGUAGGCAACCUACCCUGUAGACUGGGAUAACUACCGGAAACGGUAGCUAAUACCGGAUAAUUCCUUUCUUCUCCUGAAGGAAGGAUGAAAGG